UACGUAGGGGGCAAGCGUUAUCCGGAUUUACUGGGUGUAAAGGGAGCGUAGACGGCGUGCCAAGUCUGGUGUGAAAGCCCGGGGCCCAACCCCGGGACUGCCCUUGGAACUGCAUGGCUGGAGUGCGGGAGGGGCAGGCGGAAUUCCUGGUGUAGCGGUGAAAUGCGUAGAUAUCAGGAGGAACACCAGUGGCGAAGGCGGCCUGCUGGACGAUGACUGACGUUGAGGUUCGAAAGCGUGGGGAGCAAACAGG
rnacentral:rRNA from 1 species